GAUGAAGAACGCAGCGAAAUGCGAUAAGUAAUGUGAAUUGCAGAAUUCAGUGAAUCAUCGAAUCUUUGAACGCACAUUGCGCCCGCCAGCAUUCUGGCGGGCGUGCCUGUUCGAGCGUCAUUUCAACCCUCGAGCCCCCCCGGGGGCCUCGGUGUUGGGGGACGGCACACCAGCCGCCCCCGAAAUGCAGUGGCGACCCCGCCGCAGCCUCCCCUGCGUAGUAGCACACACCUCGCACCGGAGCGCGGAGGCGGUCACGCCGUAAAACGCCCAACUUUCUUAGAGUUGACCUCGGAUCAGGUAGGAAUACCCGCUGAACUUAAGCAUAUCAAUAAGCGGAGGA
rnacentral:misc_RNA from 1 species